CUUUGUGAUGAGAUGAAGUGAGGUUAAUGACACAUGCAUUGUGACAUAGUGUUGGGCUACUAUGGCCAUGUGACAAUACAUCAGAAAGAGGAUCACCUACUUCUGGACUGCAGUUGACCGUGGGUAACUGAAACUAUGAUUCUGCCAAAUGUCCAGAAUUCCCUAUUGCAGUUGAUGCUAUGGCAUUCUUCUUAGAGUUUGACUAGUUUUAUGCACUAUUCAUUCCAAAGCAAAGCCGCAAGACUGAGUUCAACCGGAGGAAGCAUGUAGAUAAAAGAGAGAAGCAGCUCAGGAGCACUCCAGAAUCCAGCAGCCAGGAGAUAAGGAAGAAUCAGCAAAGGAGGCAGAAAAGAAGAGAAGACAGCUGGAACCAUGGAAGGUGCAGAAGAGAAAAAUGGAUGGUCACUGUUAUGCCAAGAACCCUUAAGAAAAAGAAAAAAAAAACCCCUCACAGAACUGAACCUCAACUUAAGAAAGAAGUUUGCCCAAAAGAUGUUUUGAAAGGCAAGGAAAAACUUACCUGUGAUAAAGUUCCCAAGUUUGACUAUGCCUGGCACACUGAAAAGAUGAAGUUUUCAAAUAGACAGGACUGAGCAGUGGAGUUUGGGCUGCAGUGACUUCCCCAAGACUGCUGCCACUUGGGCUCUAACUGAAACAUCAGCUCUUCCUGGGACUGGAGCCUGCCAGUAUUUAGACUGGAACUACGUACACUAUCAUCAGCUCUCCUAUGUCUCCAGCAUGGUGACUGAAGAUUUUGGAACUUGCCAACCUUCAUAAUCAUGUGAACCAUUUCCUCGUACUAAAUCCUUUUCUCUGUCUGUAUACACCUGAUUGGUUCUGUUUCUUUCGAGAGAACACUGACUAAAUAAUCGAGUGUCUU